rnacentral:rRNA from 1 species
UGCCAGCCGCCGCGGUAAUACAGAGGGUGCGAGCGUUAAUCGGAAUUACUGGGCGUAAAGCGCGCGUAGGUGGAUGCUUAAGUCGGAUGUGAAAGCCCUGGGCUUAACCUAGGAAUUGCAUUCGAUACUGGGCAUCUAGAGUAUAGUAGAGGGAAGUGGAAUUUCCGGUGUAGCGGUGAAAUCCGUAGAUAUCAGGAGGAACACCGAUGGCGAAGGCAUCUCUCUGGGUCGAUAUUGACGCUGAGGCGCGAAAGCGUGAAUAGCGAACGGGAUUAGAUA